rnacentral:rRNA from 1 species
AACGAACGCUGGCGGCAUGCCUAACACAUGCAAGUCGAACGAGACCUUCGGGUCUAUUGGCGCACGGGUGCGUAACGCGUGGGAACCUGCCCUUAGGUUCGGAAUAACUCCCCGAAAGGGGUGCUAAUACCGGAUAAUGUCUUCGGACCAAAGAUUUAUCGCCUUUGGAUGGGCCCGCGUUGGAUUAGCUAGUUGGUAGGGUAAAAGCCUACCAAGGCGACGAUCCAUAGCUGGUCUGAGAGGAUGAUCAGCCAGACUGGGACUGAGACACGGACCAGACUCCUACGGGAGGCAGGAGUGGGGAAUAUUGGACAAUGGGCGAAAGCCUGAUCCAGCAAUGCCGCGUGAGUGAUGAAGGCCUUAGGGUUGUAAAGCUCUUUUACCCGGGAUGAUAAUGACAGUACCGGGAGAAUAAGCUCCGGCUAACUCCGUG